rnacentral:lncRNA from 1 species
AACUAACGAGAGAGAAAGAAAGUUUGUUGGAGGUUUAGAGAGAAUAUGAAAGUGUAGGUUGUGAAAGUGAAUAGUGUGCAAGUGUAUUGUGUAAGUUUAUUUAAAUGAGUACAGUUAACACAAAAAUAGCAAAUUUGGGAAGUUACGCUAAUUGUCAGAAAGUUGAAUACCAAAAAUCAUCAUUAACCACCCACUACCUGACACACGUAGACCACGUGCAGAAAUUUACUCGGUAACUGCUAUUUUAAUGGACAACUGUUCAGCAGUGAAUACUAAACGUUUCCC